rnacentral:rRNA from 1 species
UGAGGAAUAUUGGUCAAUGGACGAGAGUCUGAACCAGCCAAGUAGCGUGAAGGAUGACUGCCCUAUGGGUUGUAAACUUCUUUUAUACGGGAAUAAAGUUAGCCACGUGUGGCUUUUUGUAUGUACCGUAUGAAUAAGGAUCGGCUAACUCCGUGCCAGCAGCCGCGGUAAUACGGAGGAUCCGAGCGUUAUCCGGAUUUAUUGGGUUUAAAGGGAGCGUAGGCGGGUUGUUAAGUCAGUUGUGAAAGUUUGCGGCUCAACCGUAAAAUUGCAGUUGAUACUGGCGACCUUGAGUGCAACAGAGGUAGGCGGAAUUCGUGGUGUAGCGGUGAAAUGCUUAGAUAUCACGAAGAACUCCGAUUGCGAAGGCAGCUUACUGGAUUGUAACUGACGCUGAUGCUCGAAAGUGUGGGUAUCAAACAGGAUUAGAUACCCUGGUAGUCCACACAGUAAACGAUGAAUACUCGCUGUUGGCGAUAUACGGUCAGCGGCCAAGCGAAAGCAUUAAGUAUUCCACCUGGGGAGUACGCCGGCAACGGUGAAACUCAAAGGAAUUGACGGGGGCCCGCACAAGCGGAGGAACAUGUGGUUUAAUUCGAUGAUACGCGAGGAACCUUACCCGGGCUUAAAUUGCAACCGAAUAUGGCGGAAACGCUAUAGCUAGCAAUAGCGGUUGUGAAGGUGUUGCAUGGUUGUCGUCAGCUCGUGCCGUGAGGUGUCGGCUUAAGUGCCAUAACGAGCGCAACCCUUGCCGAUAGUUACUAACAGGUUAUGCUGAGGACUCUGUCGGGACUGCCAUCGUAAGAUGUGAGGAAGGUGGGGAUGACGUCAAAUCAGCACGGCCCUUACGUCCGGGGCUACACACGUGUUACAAUGGGGGGUACAGAGGGCUGCUACCACGCAAGUGGAUGCCAAUCCCAAAAACCUCUCUCAGUUCGGAUUGAAGUCUGCAACCCGACUUCAUGAAGCUGGAUUCGCUAGUAAUCGCGCAUCAGCCACGGCGCGGUGAAUACGUUCCC